rnacentral:rRNA from 1 species
GACGAACGCUGGCGGCGUGCUUAACACAUGCAAGUCGAACGGAAAGGCCCUGCUUUUGUGGGGUGCUCGAGUGGCGAACGGGUGAGUAACACGUGAGUAACCUGCCCUUGUCUUUGGGAUAACUUCAGGAAACUGGGGCUAAUAUCGGAUAGGAGCUCCUGCUGCAUGGUGGGGGUUGGAAAGUUUCGGCGGUUGGGGAUGGACUCGCGGCUUAUCGGCUUGUUGGUGGGGUAGUGGCUUACCAAGGCUUUGACGGGUAGCCGGCCUGGGAGGGUGACCGGGCUCAAUGGUCCUGAGAUAGGCAGCAGAAGCGAACGGUAGGCAGCGGGGGAAAGUAUGACAGAGUGGCGGGGAGCGAGUGAUGAAGGCCUCCGGUGCGGAAAGACGGGUUAUGGGUGAAAAACCAAUUUCGACGGAGACAAACCGGUAGUGACGGUAACGGGUAAAAAAGCACCGGCUAACUACGUG